AUUGAACGCUGGCGGCAGGCUUAACACAUGCAAGUCGAGCGGGGUGAUGGUGCUUGCACUAUCACUUAGCGGCGGACGGGUGAGUAAUGCUUAGGAAUCUGCCUAUUAGUGGGGGACAACAUCUCGAAAGGGAUGCUAAUACCGCAUACGUCCUACGGGAGAAAGCAGGGGAUCACUUGUGACCUUGCGCUAAUAGAUGAGCCUAAGUCGGAUUAGCUAGUUGGUGGGGUAAAGGCCUACCAAGGCGACGAUCUGUAGCGGGUCUGAGAGGAUGAUCGGCAACACUGGGACUGAGACACGGCCCAGACUCCUACGGGAGGCAGCAGUGGGGAAUAUUGGACAAUGGGGGGAACCCUGAGCCAGCCAUGCCGCGUGUGUGAAGAAGGCCUUAUGGUUGUAAAGCACAUUAAGCGAGGAGGAGGCUCUUUUGGUUAAUACCCAAGAUGAGUGGACGUUACUCGCAGAAUAAGCACCGGCUAACUCUGUGCCAGCAGCCGCCGCCG
rnacentral:rRNA from 1 species